rnacentral:rRNA from 1 species
GAGUUUGAUCUUGGCUCAGAACGAAACGCUGGCGGCAUGCCUAACACAUGCAAAGGUCGAACGAUCCCUUUCGGGGAGUAGUGGCGCACGGGUGCGUAACGCGUGGGAACCUGCCCUUACGGUUCGGGAAUAACUCCUCGAAAAGGGGUGCUAAUACCGGAUAAUGUCUUCGGACCAAAGAUUUAUCGCCUUUGGAUGGGCCCGCGUUUGGAUUAGGCUAGUUGGUGGGGUAAGGGCUCACCAAGGCGACGAGUCCAUAGCUGGUCUUAGAGGAUGAUCAGCCACACUGGGACUGAGACACGGCCCAGACUCCUAC